rnacentral:rRNA from 1 species
GCNNCUANCGNUGUGNGNUCNUCNUCUANAACAUGCAAGUCGAACGAUGAAGCCCUUCGGGGUGGAUUAGUGGCGAACGGGUGAGUAACACGUGGGCAAUCUGCCCUUCACUCUGGGACAAGCCCUGGAAACGGGGUCUAAUACCGGAUAACACCUGCCCGGGCAUCUGGGUGGGUUAAAAGCUCCGGCGGUGAAGGAUGAGCCCGCGGCCUAUCAGCUUGUUGGUGAGGUAGUGGCUCACCAAGGCGACGACGGGUAGCCGGCCUGAGAGGGCGACCGGCCACACUGGGACUGAGACACGGCCCAGACUCCUACGGGAGGCAGCAGUGGGGAAUAUUGCACAAUGGGCGAAAGCCUGAUGCAGCGACGCCGCGUGAGGGAUGACGGCCUUCGGGUUGUAAACCUCUUUCAGCAGGGAAGAAGCGAAAGUGACGGUACCUGCAGAAGAAGCGCCGGCUAACUACGUGCCAGCAGCCGCGGUAAUACGUAGGGCGCAAGCGUUGUCCGGAAUUAUUGGGCGUAAAGAGCUCGUAGGCGGCUUGUCACGUCGGGUGUGAAAGCCCGGGGCUUAACCCCGGGUCUGCAUUCGAUACGGGCUAGCUAGAGUGUGGUAGGGGAGAUCGGAAUUCCUGGUGUAGCGGUGAAAUGCGCAGAUAUCAGGAGGAACACCGGUGGCGAAGGCGGAUCUCUGGGCCAUUACUGACGCUGAGGAGCGAAAGCGUGGGGAGCGAACAGGAUUAGAUACCCUGGUAGUCCACGCCGUAAACGGUGGGAACUAGGUGUUGGCGACAUUCCACGUNGUCGGGGCCGCAGCUAACGCAUUAAGUUCCCCCCUGGGGNGUACGGCCGCANGNUNAAACUCAANGNAUUGACGGGGGCCCCCCCAANCACGGAACNUUGGNUUNNUUCCCCCAC